GACGAACGCUGGCGGCGUGCUUAACACAUGCAAGUCGAACGAAGUGGCGAACGGGUGAGUAACGCGUAAACAACCUGCCCUUCAGAGGGGGACAACAGUUGGAAACGACCGCUAAUACCGCAUACUGAAGGAGGGGAUUGCGUCUGAUUAGCUAGUUGGUGGGGUAACGGCCAACCAAGGCGAUGAUAAGUAGCCGGUCUGAGAGGAUGAACGGCCACAUUGGGACUGAGACACGGCCCAGACUCCUACGGGAGGCAGCAGUGGGGAAUCUUCCGCAAUGGACGAAAGUCUGACAGAGCAACGCCGCGGGAGUGAUGACGGCCUUCGGGUUGUAAAGCUCUGUUAAUCGGGACGCGGUACCGGAAUAGAAAGCCACGGCUAACUACGUGCCAGCCGCCGCGGUAAUAC
rnacentral:rRNA from 1 species